GAUUAGUCAGUGAAUUAAAGAGAGUUCUUGUUCCUGGAUAAUUUGGAAUGAACACAUUUCCUGUUCACUCAGAGAUACAGCAGCGAGUUUAUUCUGGGUGGCUUCCACAGUGACCAUUGUGGAGAAGAAAUCUUGUAAUAUAAUUGAAGAACAAUAGCCAUAUAAUUAACACAGAUGUUCAGGUAUGAGUCAUUGAAAAAUUAUCAUCCUUACUGUGAAAUAAGAUUGGUCAAGGCGAGGCUGGUCCUUCAAAGAAGGAAAACCCAACAUGGUGCAAUGUGUGCUGCAGCAUACCCACAACAGCCUGAUCUGCAAAUCAACAGUGUAAAGAGCUCAAAUCCAGAGGCUGAAGGCUUAUUGUGUUGACUUUCUCAUCCUAGAGGUCACUGAAUGCAGAACUUGGGAACUUCUGGACUUCCUAUGCAACAGCUUGCUUAAACCUGGAAGGGACCCCUGGCUGGGAAUAGUCACAUUUAUCAAAUGGUUAAUAGAUCUUCUACUGGGUUAAAAGCUUUACAUUCGAAAUCAUCCUAUCUUCACAAAAAAAUCUCUCUGAAGUAGUUAUUGGCACCUCUGCUGUGUUAGUAAGGAAACGAAGUUCAGCAGAAGAUACGAUUUUACUCAAGAUGACACAGCUGUAAAUGGCAUGGGGAAAAUCUGAUUGCCACAGACAGAAGAAUGAAACUGGAUGCCUAUUUCUCACAAUACACAAAAGCGAUUCAAGAUUAAAGACUUAACUGUAAGACUUGAAACUGUAAAAAUACUAGAAGAAAAUCUAGGGAAAACUGUUCUGGACAUUGGCCUAGAAAAAGAAUUUCUGACUAAGACUUCAAAAGCACAGUAAACAAAAAUAGACAAACGGGACUUAAUGAAACUAAAACUCUUCUGCAGAGCAAAGAAAAUAAGAAACAGAGUGAACAGACAACCUGCAAAAUGGGAGAUAGACAAUGGAGACUAAGAAGAGCAAAGGAAUGACAGAGAGGUGGAGGAUGAGAAAUUACUUAAUGGGUACAAAGUACAUUAUUUGAGUGAUGGAUGCCCUAAAAGCUCUGACUUGACCAUUAUGCAAUCUCUGCAUGCAAUAAAAUUGCACUUGCACCCCAUACAUUUAUAUAAAUUAAAAAGUAAAAUAUCCCUCUUUACCACUAGUAAUGAUUUUCCCCUUAAAAUCUAUUUUAACUAUGUAGCAGACCCUCUUAAUAUUCUGCUCAUAUUUUCCUGUCACUUGCCAUUGCUGUGCACACUGAUGGUUUUCCUACUGCCAUCACCAGUACUCCAUUUGAGAGCUUUCUCUGGUAAGCUUGGUUCGUGUGCAGGGAAGGGAGGCUAAAGGUUCUGGGAAGUUGAAACACCAGUAGCAGUCCUCAUCCAGUGACAGAUGGAAACUGGAGGAUAAAUAACUCAGCUUCGUCAUCUAUUGGGUGGGACCACUGUGAGGGAUAUUCUGUAUUAUCUCUCAGAGGUCCUCAGCAGGGCUGACUCCCAGGUGUCCUUUGUGGUAACCUGCUCACUAAUACCUGGCAUUGGCUUCUUUCUCUUCCUUUUAUCACCCUUUCCCCUUCCCAGUUCUCCUAUUAGAGCUUCUUGUGAUCACUUUCCAAAUGAACUAUGUGCUAUGGUUUGAAUAUUUGUCACCUCCAAAACUCAUGCUCAAUUUAAUCCCUAAUGUAGGAAUAUUGAGUGGUGCAGCCUUUAAGAUGUGAUUGGAUCAUGAGGACUCUCCCCUCAUGAAUGGAUUAAUUCAUUCAUGGAUUAAUUGAUUAAUGAAUUAAUGAGUUAAUGGAUUAAUGGGUUAUCAUUGGAGGGGAACUUGUGGUUUAUAAGAGAGAGACCUGAGCUAGCAUCUUAGUAUGCUCAGCCCCCUGUCUGUGUGAUGCUCUGCACUACCUUGGGAUUGUGUAGAAAGUCUUCACCAACAAGAAGGCUUUUACCAGAUAUGUCCCCUUGGCCUUGGGCUUCCCAGUCUCAAG
rnacentral:lncRNA from 1 species